GUACCGCUCAGAUUGCGGCCAAUCUUCCUAACCGCGCGCGGGCCGGGCUUAGAGCGCGUGAAACUCAUCACUAUCUCGUAAGGGCGUUGAGACCAUAGCAUGUUAAACGAAAGCGCCGCUUUCUCUGUAGUGUUUUCACACAGCUGCCCGCCUAGAAGAGCCACUCGCUCUGUAGUGUUGUCACACAAGAUAAGCACGCCGCCCGCCAGCUGGCCGGGCGAAUCGAAGUUAUCUUCCGGUCAACUGUCCACCCAGUCAAGUGCAAAAAACACAGUUGAAUCACGCAACGCACGCUGCUGGUGUGCUUCCUGCCCGCGAGGAAAGAAGAGCGACAAGGUUUAGUUCAGAUUUGACUGUUUGCAGCAUGGGAGCGGAUUACCCAAAAAAUCCCUGGGAACAAUGAAAAAAAAGAUAUCUCGGUAACGAAAACAAUAGGGGGCUGUAUUGGCGAGAUCCAACGGUGAACAGCUGUCCAAAAGAAAAACCGCCUGGAAGUCCGAGGACCUUUAGUACCGUACCCUACCCCCGAACCAGCAGCCUUUGCGCCAAGCAAGACCGCCCUUGUCCUUUCUCCAUUCCGCCUCCUUCUUAGCUUUGUUCCAAUAUAGUAUAAGGCAAAGCUAAAGUGGGUUCGUAUGCCUACUUUACCUACUUGACGAAAGGGAACGAACUGAGUUUCGUUUCCGGGUUUAUGGAUUGGAUUCAGUCAGCGUCACGACAUAAUAAAACAAAAAAAAGGAAGGAGUGACGCUUUGGUUACCGGCAAACGCUUCCUAAGGCGACCCUCUCGAGUUUCCUAGAUUGAAGUAGCCUUUCUUUCGUCGCCCUACCAAACGAAAGAAGUCACUAUCAAAAAGCUCGCCCUACUGAAGUACCAAAGGUGCGCUCCGCCCGGUGACUCAGAAAGAAAUGGGUUUGCGCUUUGAAGUGAUGAGGUCGCAAAGAGGGAAGUAGGGCUCCUAUUGACUAAAGGUUGGUUCUUCGGUUUCCUUUAGAAUGAAAGUAGCUAUGAAGCCCCUACUACUUAUACUGACUUUGUUUGAUUAAAAAGGCGAACCCCAACUAGUCGUAUGGGGUGGGGUGCUUGUGGUAAGCUGCCUUGGAUAUGAGUCUGAGGAAUUCCUAAAAAAAGGCAAAGUCCGGUAUUUGACGAAGAUCUUUCUAUCAAUAGAUAGGAUUUAGUGUUCGAUAUAGGGGAUAGGAUCCAUCUUCUCUCUCUCUUACUUAGUUAGGUUUCUUUUUUUUUCAGUGCAACACAGGAAAGCGCCCUCUUUUUGUCAUCCCUGCAGCUUUCCAGAUUAUGUAUUGAACGUAUGGCGUAGCUAGGAUCUUAAAAUCAUGUUUGAGCCUAGCCUAUCCUAUGUUCAAACCAACCCCCCCCCAUUUGAAUAAGGCUGGAAAGAAUGCCCGCCAAGUUCAGAUAAGGGAAUGCUUCCCCCAACCAUUAAAGGAAAGGCUCGACGAAGGGAGGGAGAUGCGGCGGGGGAAGGAAAACGCUUUCGGAGAUCGAUAUUUUUUUAUUUAUUUAUCAUCGAAAACGAAGAAGGCCGAGGAUGGCCUACGGUGCGUGUUAUCUGAAGGGAACACGCUUUUUCGACCGCGGUGGUAUGAUUUGGGGCCCUCUCCGCGUUCCGCCCGCAGGCCUCUUGGGAUAGCAGCCUUCGUUGCCUGCCCUUUAUAUCUCGGCCCGGGAAAGCGCUGGCAACAACAGAAAGGAAGGGGUCCAUGUAGUGCGUCCGCCCCCUUCUUAGUCGAUGGGGCAGCAGGUUCGGCAUCUACUAAAAAAGAGAGAAUCCACUUGAGAUAACCACGCCUCUGCUAGGCAGCGUGUGGAAUGGCCAAGAGCGGACCUUUUUGGAUAUAUAAUCCAAGUGGAGAGUGGAGUUACGGGAACAGCCGUCUGAUGGAAAACUACUUUCACGUUCGGUUCAGAGAGCACUUUUUUUUCGUCGAGAAUUCUUCGUUCCCUUUCGUGUGAAUUCCCCAGCGGCG
rnacentral:lncRNA from 1 species